rnacentral:rRNA from 1 species
GACGAACGCUGGCGGCGUGCUUAACACAUGCAAGUCGAACGCUGAAGCUCAGCUUUUGUUGGGUGGAUGAGUGGCGAACGGGUGAGUAACACGUGAGUAACCUGCCCCCUUCUUUGGGAUAACGCCCGGAAACGGGUGCUAAUACUGGAUAUUCACUGGUCUUCGCAUGGGGGUUGGUGGAAAGGGUUUUUCUGGUGGGGGAUGGGCUCGCGGCCUAACAGCUUGUUGGUGGGGUGAUGGCCUACCAAGGCUUUGACGGGUAGCCGGCCUGAGAGGGUGACCGGUCACAUUGGGACUGAGAUACGGCCCAGACUCCUACGGGAGGCAGCAGUGGGGAAUAUUGCACAAUGGGCGCAAGCCUGAUGCAGCGACGCCGCGUGAGGGAUGGAGGCCUUCGGGUUGUGAACCUCUUUCGCUCAUGGUCAAGCCGCAACAAUGGUUGUGGUGAGGGUAGUGGGUAAAGAAGCGCCGGCUAACUACGUG